rnacentral:rRNA from 1 species
CCUACGGGAGGCAGCAGUGGGGAAUCUUGGGCAAUGGGGGAAACCCUGAUGCAGCCACGCCGCGUGAGUGAUGACGGCUUUAGGGUUGUAAACCUCUUUCACCGGUGACGAAAAUGACGGUAAUCGCGUGAAGAAGGCCCGGCCAACUCCGUGCCAGCAGCCGCGGUAAU